rnacentral:lncRNA from 1 species
AAGCUUAGGAAAGAUAAGUCAAAUUUUAUUUUCCUUUUCAAUACCUUUCUCUAGGUAGAAAGUAAAACAUCUUUUAAAAUUUUACAAAUAAGCGUAUAAUGAAGUGACCUACAGAAAGCAGUAUAUUUGAAGAUAGGUUUAUAUCAUGUCUUUAUAUCAUAUAUCAAUUAAACAUUUUAAUCUGAAUUGUUUAUUUAAAUAAGACUAGGAAGUGGAAUUCUCCAAUUUUUGUGGUAAUCACUUCUAUAAUAUAGUAAAAAUUCAAUGGCUAUAUUUUUUUAGCUAUUAGAUUUGGUAUGGCUUUAAAAUUUUGUGUUUACUUUGAAGUUUAUAUUCACUAUGAUUUUUUAAGUUAAAGAAAACAUCAGUUGUUAAGUUUCUAUCCCAAUAUGAAUUUAAAAAUAUCCAACUAUUAACUGAUGGAAAUAAUUACAUGUUUAAUUUAAUAAGGUAACUAAAAUAUAUGAAAAAUUAUACAAAUGUGAAUAUUUUAGAGCAAAAUUUAUCAAUUAAUAUUUUUGUCUGUUAUACUGAUAACUUAUUAUGUAUGAUUUAUUUCCCAUUUGCAUACAUGAUAUUUUCUUUGGGUAAUGUUCCAUAUAGUUACACAAAUGAACUGAUGUACAUUUCUUAUUUUCAUUAACACCUUUGUUUACAAAUUAAAAUUUUAUUCCAAAGAUUUGAGUUCCAUCAAAUAGAUAUUUUUCUGACAACAGGUAAUAAAAUAGGUUAAUUCCAAAUCAAAACUAAAUUAUAUCCAUUUCACUCGAGCCUACUAUGUUAUAACUUUAUCAAAAGACAUCAAAUAUAAAGAUGUUUUACUAAUAACAUGGAAGUAGUGCAGUACAAAUGCAUUGAUAUUCUAAUUUUUGAAAUAGAGAACUCUCAAAUUCCUAAAUCUCCCACUUACUUUUCCUUUAUUCAGUUUGUCCUUUCAGUGUUCCUAACAGUUUAUAUCUUUUGACUUAACAUUAAGAGUUUAUGUCUUUUGACUUAACAUCAAGAAAUUGAGUCAGAAGAAAUAAUUUAAGGUAGCAAUUAUAUAACUAGAAAGAUAAAUAGCUUUUCUUUUCCACAAUUAAAAAAGAUUGUAAAUAUGAUCUACCAAAUAAUAUUUAUCCAGAUUAAAUGUAUCAUUUUAAUUUAUUUAAAUUUUGCAAAAUCAAUUAUUGUCCUUUUAUCAUGUCUUUUCCACCCUAUUUUAUUUAUAAUUUAAAUAUUCUAUAGAAUUUUUUUAAUACACAAGCAUGAGCGUAAUUAAUUAAGUAAAGUUCCUUGAAAAUAGUUUUUUGGCAGGUACAAGUAGACUUUCAAUUUGAAAAACGCACUUGAACAAUAAUUAUAAAUAAUGGUUUAGUGGCCCAGAGAGUCUUGUCAGGGCAAUCAUUUAUCUGUAUAAGAGUCUGUCGUAAAUUUUGAAUGAAAACCAAGGCACUAAAUGUCUGGCUUCAAUGAUGACUUCUCUGAAGCUAGAAAGGCCUGUCUCCUGAAUUUAGUUGCCUUUCUUUUAUUUGGCUUUCAUACACUGUUUCCCCUUCAUGUGACUGUCUAAAGCAGACAAAGAAAAAUUGGUGCUACACUUUUAGAGAGUACAAGUGACAGACGUUAGGACCUCUUGACUGUGUGUCUUGCGGUCAGGGGCAUCCAGUGAAUUGCAGGUGGGGAUUACGUAAGGCUGAGGGACAUCUGCUUUGCCUUGAUGAGAGCUGAUGAUAGAGCUCUGUGUUAUCCUGUAACAAGCCUACCGGUUUAAAAAAAAAAAAAUUAAAAAAUGGUUGGAGAAAUUUCUAUCACAAACAGAGCUAGUAUGCCAGCAGGUGAGCUCUUCAUGCCAUCUGUGCAUGAAGAGCUACCCAGUCGAAUAAAAUCAUAUAUUUCUUUUAGUGUCAUCUACAGACAUGAAGGGCAGAAAGCCACCUUACAUAAGAACACAAAAAGGCUAGAAAUAACACAAACCUGGUACAUUCUAGGUAACAGUAACACUAUCCUUCUCAGAAUAUAUUAAAUACCUCAUUUCACAAGGCCUGGAGCUGACACUAAAGAACUACUGUAGACUGGUUUGCUGUAAAUAUUAUGCUGAGAAAGUGAUUAAUAGUAGAGACUUAUCUCAGAAAUUUAAUGUGUUGGCUUAAAGAAUGUUGUCACAUCUGGGUGUGUUAAUCUCACAAUUGCUUGGAUUUAUUUACUGUGGUCUGUACAGGUUUCUCUUUAUGGAUAGACUGUGGCACCUUUGAGGCUGGGAAGGUGUUUUAGAAGUCUCUAGUUACUAACAUUCAUGCCUGACAAUAAGUAUUUGUUAAAUGAAUCUAAUGAUGUCACAAAAAAAAAAAAGUGCUCACAUUUAUUUCUCAGUGACUUUGUUUCAUUCAUCACAAAGUCGAUACAGGAGUUCCCAUUGUGGCUCAGCAGAGACGAACCCAACCAGUAUCCAUGAGGAUGAGGGUUCAAUCCCUGGCUCUGCUCAGUGGGUUAAGAUCUGGCGCUGUGGUGAGCUGUGGUGUAGAUUGCAGACAUGACUCAGAUUCCAUGUUGCUGUGGCUGAAGUAUAGGCCAGCAGUUGCAACUCCAAUUCGACCCCUAGCCUGGGGAUGUCCAUUUGCCACAGGUGUGUUCCUAAAAAAUAGCCCCCCCAAAAAAGUCAAUACAAAUAACCUAAAAUAUGAAUCUGAAAAGAUUUUGUUUUAUUUUCCUGGAAAACUUAAGCCAAAAUCUAUUAAAGAUUUACUUUCAUUUAAAUAGGGCACUUGUUUUUUAGUGUUCUCAAUAUAACUAAUUUGGUUUUCUAUGAGGAGGCAAAAAGCAUGAUAUCCCAAGUCAGAAUGUACUAAUUAUCUGUUGGCAGCAUCCACAAAUAUGAGAAAUAUUCUUGUCAAAACUGACCUUGUAAAAGUGGAUCCCAUGAGUUUUUCAAGAAGCAUAUAAAAUACCAGUGAACAUCAGCAGGUCCUCUUUAUCUGUCUUCCACAUUGAUGAAGAACUGAAAAUGAAGACUAAAUUGCUGAAAAUAGGUUAAAAGCUCAUUAUAGAUUUUCAAGCUAUAUUAGUAUUUUAAUACUCAAAACUGGUUCUUUAUGGAUUUUAAAUUAGGGUAGCACAGCAACAUCUAAAUUAUUGCACUGACCAACAUAUUUUUCUCAUGUUACGGCUUCAGAAAGAGAUUGUAUUCUCUCAAUACUAAAAUUGAGUAAUUUGGUUCAGCUGAUUUUUUUAUGCAGAAUAGAUUUUCAGAAUUGUUUUAAUUUUUACAUAUCUUUUAUUUUUAAUUACUUAUUUAAUAUUUUAAUUCGGAUUUCUAAAACAGACUUUAAUUUUUUUGUGUGGGGUGUGAUGAGGAAGGUACUGAUUCUGAGUAUUUCUAUAAGGCUUUGUGCAUAUUAUAACUACACCCACUCUGAAGCACACUCUGGGCUUUUUAAACCAAUUAUGAAUCAAGGAAGCAUGGCUCUGCUUCCUGACCAAGGGAAAGCCACCCAAGCACAAUAUUCCAACUCCUUAGAGAGUAAUUUUUCCUUAAUGGGUUUUACUUCAGUGACUCAUACUGAUUAUGUAAGAUGCAACACAAUGAAAUAGGCUUCUCUGUAGCUUUGCACACAUGUACACGUGUAUCUGGAACAAUGCAACGACAUUUGCAGUUGCUUCUUUAAAUAGCUUUAAAAAAAAGGAACAAGCAACAGCAUAGAGAUUAUGAGGAGCCACUUGAGUGGAGAAGAGCAGGAAAGGCUGGCUAGGACAAGAAGAAAUUUAGCAGAGGGAAACUGCCAAGCUCCGGAGAAGAGGUUGAUUGUUUCUGUGAGGUUAGGAGUCAUAAGGCGGACAGGAGAGAUGAGGGCUAGAGAUGCGAUUUGAAAAGAGUCAAUUAAGUCCAGAGAGGCAGGGAAGUGGUUCCAGAUGGCAGGUAAAACACAGGAGAAAGAGAAAGUGGUGGAGUGGAUAGAGGUGAAGAGGGCGAAGGGUGCCUCGAGAAGGAGCCUAGGAAGGCUUUUAAAUCUGAAUUUAAUGAUAGAAGAAAAUAAGUACAAAGAAGCGAAUGUUCUGAAACAACUUUCAAUAACAAUCUAAUGUAAUUCAAGAUCAGAGUUUUAAGUAUAUUUGCAGCUAUUGAGGGGUCCAAUAACAUAAGCCUUCACAGGAACCUUCUCCUUUCUGCCCUAGCAUCGUGUUACCGCCGAAACCUGUGACUUCUGUAACAAAGAAACUCAUGGCUCAUAGUAUUAAAAUAGCCCAGUAUACUUUUCAAAAUUAUGUAACUCUAUAAUCAUUAGACUAUAUGUAUUGACAAGAAAUGUAAUCCUAAAUUGUAAACAUAUUUUCUAGAGUUGAAUUUCCCAGCCAACCUAACAACUUUAUGAGGUUUAAAAUGUAGGUGAGCAAGAAACAUCUUUUCAAGAUGCCCUUGAUUUCUGUCUUCUAUUCAGAUGUUGGUUAUGGCAACUCUUAGAAUGGCAGGGGUUUCUCCAAUUUAACAAGCAAUCUGUUACUCCAAAUAACAGACUGGAAGCAGUGGGAAGAAAAUAUCUCUUGGUUCCUGCGCUUGUUUGAGGAGCUCUCUCAGCAGCACUGAGUAAAGUUGGUUCUCAUUGAGAGCUUAUUUAUUUAUUAAAUACUUACCUGGUUUGAAUUUUUAUUGAGCAUCUAUUAUGGAUUAUGAGCUGGGCUGUGUACUAAGACUAUAAUGAUUAUCUAGGCAAAGUCUCUACUCUUCAGAAGUGUAUACACAAGUGAGGGAGUUGAUUAAGAAGAUAAUUACAAAACCAAAUUUAAAAAAACUGUCAGAGAAAUACAGGGGAAUAUGCGCAACCAGUGCCUCGUUAGUUGUUGAGACAUCAAAGAUGGCUCGCAUGGUAAGUGGAUCCCAGAGCUGUAAGUAGCAAUUUCGUGCCCAAAACAUUGUCAUGCACUUUCCUCUGAGAGGAGAAGCAAUAGCUUCAGUGAGUUCCCAGUGGUUUUUCAAGUUAUCUGUCCCACAGUGGUAUAUUUAACUCCGUAAGGAAAAUUUUAAGGCCUUGGUAGCUGGUCAUUAUAUCUCAUUAAAUCAGUCUCAGAAUCACUAAGUAAUAAUACUGGAGGGCAGGAUGCUAGAAUUUUUCUGAGAAGCCCUUG